ensembl:snRNA U6 U6 spliceosomal RNA
AUGCUCAUGUCCACAGAAUAUAUUUCUAAAAUUAGAAUGACAUAGAGAAGAUUAAAAUGGUGUUUACACCAGGAUGCCGUGAAAAUUUGUAAAGUCUUCAAUAUUUUU